CUUUCCCUGUCUUACGUCUUCAUUACUGUUUUUUUCCUCUUUUGUGCCGCCGCCACCAGCUACGGUAAUAUUGGAGAUGGACUAGGACUUGUAUCUUGAUCAUGUUAUUUUCGGUUGAAUGCAUUCUUUGGGUUGGCCCUGAUAUGGUGAUCAUAUGACGAGAGUUGGAUGGUAUCCCAACUAGGUUGAAAAGCUCUUUUAAUUACUAGUCAUUUUGGUUUUCUUUGAAAUUUUCUUCAUUGAUACUAGCCCAAGCCGUGUUUGAAGAUGCUUGUAAAGCUAAAAAAAUGCCAUGUCUUUAGGGUGUUUUUAGGAAAAGAAAAAGAAAAAGACAGAUUUUCAUUAAUGACUGGUAAAAGCAUGUAAUUACAUAUUUUUCAAAGCUAUUAGCUUGGUUUAAACAUAUGUUUAAGGAAUUUUCAAUUUUAGUACUACAUAUUUUUAUUAAUAGAUAAAUGUAGUGUGAUUAAAAGCAAGGUUUGGCUUUAGCUUUAAAUGGAAAAUAGCGGAAUACAGAGAAUGACUUAGUUUGAAUGAAAUUUCUUUUCCUGGAGAGUUACUUGUAUUUGAAAUCAAUAUAAAUAGAGGGAAGUCCUAUCCUAGUUGUUUCUAAAUUCUAACCUAAUUAUAGCCUGAAUAUCGUAAUCUUCUAGAUCUGCUUUCUCACUAAUUAUUGAAAGAAAAGUAUGUUU